CAUACAUCGGCAAGCCUCGCAGAACUCCAGCUAGCCCACCCCAUAAAUUCAAAAUCCCUAAUUUUACUUCAAAAACUCCAUCUCCGCUCGCUUUUCUCCCUCGACCUUGACUCAUCCCCACCGAAUCGUCUCUUUUCCUAGUUAAAAUGGGUGAUCCGACGGACCGAAUCAAAGGCUUCCCUUUACCUAAGGUUUCCUCUUUCGAUUCUAGGGUUUUAUUGGUUUUCUGCCGUUUUUCCUAUUGUUUUUAGUGGAGAAAUGAAAAUUUUAUUCUUCGAAUUCCUGAAAAUUGUAGACAUUUGUUUCGUUUUUCUAUUUGUGGGGGCAGAUCUGACCAUCGGAGAUCUCCAAGGCGCCUUGUGUUUGUUACUUCAGAGUUUUCUGCAGAAGAAUCGAGAGGUUUUUAGGUUGCUGACUUCAGUGAGCUGGAAGAAGGAGAGCUGCUAGAAGACUUACCAUACAGAUCCAUAUCCAAAUCAGUUCAAGCUUGGCAGGAAUUUGUGAAGGCAGUGAUAGCGUAUCAACAGAAAGUCAAUAGCUCAGCAUGUGCAGCAAAUAGUCUAAAGUUGGAUCAAGAAAUGGAGAAGAAGAGGAAGAUCAUUAUCCAAACACUUGAUUGGAGACAAGCAUUAGUAUUAACUGGUUGAAGCAAUCUGUCUUUCCAUUCAGCUGAGCAUCAUUGUUCUACUGACAAGAACCCCAGACGUCCAUUUAAUUUCUCAAGAGAAUAUCGUGGACAGUAUAACUCCUGACAAGAACAGAGACAAGCAUGAUGUGCUUACAACCUCAAGGACAAAAUGUUGAUGGUUGAGACUCGGCUGGAAAAAAUGUGCCAUGAAUACAUAUUGUUAAAGACAUAUCUAUAGAGCCUUGAAAAACUCAAUCUAAAAUCAGGACUGGUAUAAAAACCUUUCAUGGCGAGAACAUGUAUCCUCAGAAAUUGACAAGAAUGACACGACUGUGGUGAAGUUUAUAGAAUCAGUAGAGGUUUCUACUGUGGUUCUCAUAUAUCGAAGAGCAUCAAAACAUGUCUGCCCUGUCAUUGACUGAUCUCAUCUUCUGUUUUGUGGCUAUGAUUUGCUGAGGAGAUGCUGCAGUUAUUUUCAGUCCCAGCCGAUGUACGGUUUUGCCUGCUUGGCUGUAUGAGGUUGUGACUUUAUGGAAGGAUGUACUGCAGCCCCCAGUUUUCCAGCUUAUUCAUGUGCAUUUGUAGUUUGUUUUGAAAACUUUAAAUAGACUAUUAACUGUUUUGUUGGUA